GACGAACGCUGGCGGCGUGCUUAACACAUGCAAGUCGAACGGAAAGGCCCCCUUGUGGGGUACUCGAGUGGCGAACGGGUGAGUAACACGUGAGUAACCUACCCUUGACUUUGGGAUAACUUCAGGAAACUGGGGCUAAUACCGGAUAGGAGCUCCUGCUGCAUGGUGGGGGUUGGAAAGUUUCGGCGGUUGGGGAUGGACUCGCGGCUUAUCAGCUUGUUGGUGGGGUAGUGGCUCACCAAGGCUUUGACGGGUAGCCGGCCUGGGAGGGUGACCGGCCACAUUGGGACUGGGAUACGGCCCAGACUCCUACGGGAGGCAGCAGUGGGGAAUAUUGCACAAUGGGCGGAAGCCUGAUGCAGCAACGCCGCGUGCGGGAUGACGGCCUUCGGGUUGUAAACCGCUUUCGCCUGUGACGAAGCGUGAGUGACGGUAAUGGGUAAAGAAGCACCGGCUAACUACGU
rnacentral:rRNA from 1 species